AGGGGUGUAGCUCAGUGGUAAAGCAUUUGCCUAGCAUGUUCAAAGCCCUGAGUUCAAUUCUCAGCACCACAU
rfam:Heterocephalus glaber contig36852, whole genome shotgun sequence.